UACGGGGGGGGCAAGCGUUAUUCGGAAUUAUUGGGCGUAAAGGGCGCGUAGGCGGUUGAAUAAGUCAGAUGUGAAAGCCCUUGGCUUAACCAAGGAAGUGCAUUUGAUACUAUUUGACUUGAGUAUGGGAGAGGGAAGUGGAAUUCCUGGUGUAGAGGUGAAAUUCGUAGAUAUCAGGGGGAACACCGGUGGCGAAAGUGACUUCCGGGACCAAUACUGACUUUGAGGCGCGAAGGCGUGGGGAGCAAACAGG
rnacentral:rRNA from 1 species